rnacentral:rRNA from 1 species
GACGAACGCUGGCGGCGUGCUUAACACAUGCAAGUCGAACGGAAAGGCCUUGCUUUUGUGGGGUGCUCGAGUGGCGAACGGGUGAGUAACACGUGAGUAACCUGCCCUUGACUUUGGGAUAACUUCAGGAAACUGGGGCUAAUACCGGAUAGGAGCUCCUGCUGCAUGGGGGGGGUUGGAAAGUUUCGGCGGUGGGGGAUGGACUCGCGGCUUAUCAGCUUGUUGGUGGGGUAGUGGCUUACCAAGGCUUUGACGGGUAGCCGGCCUGAGAGGGUGACCGGCCACCUUGGGACUGCGGUACGGCCCAGACUGCUACGGGAGGCAGCAGUGGGGAAUAUUGCACAGUGGGCGGAAGCCUGAUGCAGCAACGCCGCGUGCGGGAUGACGGCCUUCGGGUUGUAAACCGCUUUCGCCUGUGACGAAGCGUGAGUGACGGUAAUGGGUAAAGAAGCACCGGCUAACUACGUG